rnacentral:tRNA from 1 species
GCGCGAGGAGCUCGAGCGGUCGAGCAUCGGUCUUACACACCGAGGGACAGGGUUCGACUCCCUGCUUGCGUA